CAUCAUGAUGCCCACAGCACGGCCAUGAACGGAGAGGCUGGUGAAUGCGCCACUGGAGGGAAAUGUGCCACGCAUUCCUAAUGAGCUGCAGGGACAGGCGGCGGCAGCCUGCCCUUCCUGCUCUAGUCUUGCAGGAGCCUCUGCUGGGCACGCCCCUCUCCCCUCCUCCUCCGUCACCAGGUAGGUGCCGGCUCAAUCCUUCCACGUUUCUACGUGCAGGAAAGAGAUUCCUCUGUAGCCCAGUUCAAUGCCUAGAGCCGCAGCUCUCCAGGGAGAGCUCAGGUAGAGGAGGGUCAUCUUUCCC